UACGUAGGUGGCAAGCGUUGUCCGGAAUUAUUGGGCGUAAAGAGCGCGUAGGCGGUCCGAUAAGUCGGCUGUGAAAGUCAGGGGCUCAACCCUUGGAAGCCGGCCGAUACUGUCGGACUAGAGUCCGGAAGAGGCGAGUGGAAUUCCCGGUGUAGCGGUGAAAUGCGCAGAUAUCGGGAGGAACACCAAUGGCGAAGGCAGCUCGCUGGGACGGUACUGACGCUGAGGCGCGAAAGCGUGGGGAGCAAACA
rnacentral:rRNA from 1 species